UACGGAGGGUCCAAGCGUUAUCCGGAAUCAUUGGGCUUAAAGGGUCCGUAGGCGGUUUAAUAAGUCAGUGGUGAAAGCCUAUCGCUUAACGAUAGAACGGCCAUUGAUACUGUUAGACUUGAAUUAGUGGGAAGUAACUAGAAUAUGUAGUGUAGCGGUGAAAUGCUUAGAUAUUACAUGGAAUACCAAUUGCGAAGGCAGGUUACUAGCACUAUAUUGACGCUGAUGGACGAAAGCGUGGGGAGCGAACAGG
rnacentral:rRNA from 1 species